rnacentral:rRNA from 1 species
GACGAACGCUGGCGGCGUGCCUAAUACAUGCAAGUCGAGCGGACUUUCAAGAAGCUUGCUUUUUGAAAGUUAGCGGCGGACGGGUGAGUAACACGUGGGCAACCUGCCUGCAAGACGGGGAUAACUCCGGGAAACCGGGGCUAAUACCGGAUAAUAUCUUCCUUCGCAUGAAGGAAGGUUGAAAGGCGGCGCAAGCUGCCGCUUGCAGAUGGGCCCGCGGCGCAUUAGCUAGUUGGUGAGGUAACGGCUCACCAAGGCGACGAUGCGUAGCCGACCUGAGAGGGUGAUCGGCCACACUGGGACUGAGACACGGCCCAGACUCCUACGGGAGGCAGCAGUAGGGAAUCUUCCGCAAUGGGCGGAAGUCUGACGGAGCAACGCCGCGUGAGCGAAGAAGGGCUUCGGGUCGUAAAGCUCUGUUGUCAGGGAAGAACAAGUACCGUUCGAACAGGGCGGUACCUUGACGGUACCUGACCAGAAAGCCACGGCUAACUACGUG